rnacentral:rRNA from 1 species
UGGGGAAUAUUGGACAAUGGGCGCAAGCCUGAUCCAGCCAUGCCGCGUGUGUGAAGAAGGCCUUUUGGUUGUAAAGCACUUUAAGCGAGGAGGAGGCUACUUGGAUUAAUACUCUAGGAUAGUGGACGUUACUCGCAGAAUAAGCACCGGCUAACUCUGUGCCAGCAGCCGCGGUAAUACAGAGGGUGCGAGCGUUAAUCGGAUUUACUGGGCGUAAAGCGUGCGUAGGCGGCUUCUUAAGUCGGAUGUGAAAUCCCUGAGCUUAACUUAGGAAUUGCAUUCGAUACUGGGAAGCUAGACUAUGGGAGAGGAUGGUAGAAUUCCAGGUGUAGCGGUGAAAUGCGUAGAGAUCUGGAGGAAUACCGAUGGCGAAGGCAGCCAUCUGGCCUAAUACUGACGCUGAGGUACGAAAGCAUGGGGAGCAAACAGG